ACGACACUCCGGAGAGCGCGGUUUUCCCCGCGCACCAAAGGGGCAACCUGCCGCAAGGGCGGGGAAUCUCUCAGGUAUAUGACGGAGGCGCA
rnacentral:ncRNA from 1 species